CGCUGGCGGCGUGCUUACACAUGCAAGUCGAGCGAUGAGAUCACUUCGGUGAAGGAUUAGCGGCGAACGGGUGAGGAACACGUGAAGAAUCUGCCUUCAACUCUGGGAUAACUCCGGGAAACCGGGGCUAAUACCGGAUAUGAGCCUUGAUCGCAUGAUCGGGGCUGGAAAGUUUUUCGGUUGAAGAUGACUUCGCGGCCUAUCAGCUUGUUGGUGAGGUAAUGGCUCACCAAGGCGACGACGGGUAGCCGGCCUGAGAGGGCGACCGGCCACACUGGGACUGAGACACGGCCCAGACUCCUACGGGAGGCAGCAGUGGGGAAUAUUGGGCAAUGGACGAAAGUCUGACCCAGCGACGCCGCGUGCGGGAUGAAGGCCUUCGGGUUGUAAACCGCUUUCAGCAGGGAAUAAGCGCAAGUGAAGGUACCUGCAGAAGAAGCACCGGCUAACUAUGUGCCAGCAGCCGCGGUAAUACAUAGGGUGCAAGCGUUGUCCGGAAUUAUUGGGCGUAAAGAGCUCGUAGGUGGUUUGUUACGUCGGUUGUGAAAUUCAGGGGCUCAACCCCUGACUUGCAGCCGAUACGGGCAAGCUAGAGUUUGGUAGGGGAGACUGGAAUUCCUGGUGUAGCGGUGGAAUGCGCAGAUAUCAGGAGGAACACCGAUGGCGAAGGCAGGUCUCUGGGCCAAUACUGACACUGAGGAGCGAAAGCGUGGGGAGCGAACAGGAUAGAUACCCUGGUAGUCCACGCCGUAAACGGUGGGCGCUAGUUGUGCGAACCUUCCACGGUUGUGCGA
rnacentral:rRNA from 1 species